rnacentral:tRNA from 1 species
GCGAGGGUUGCCAAGCUAGGUUAACGGCGCAGGGCUUAGGACCCUGUCUCAAGGAGUUCAUGGGUUCGAAUCCCAUCCCUCGCA